rnacentral:rRNA from 1 species
GUGGGGAAUAUUGGACAAUGGGCGCAAGCCUGAUCCAGCCAUGCCGCGUGAGUGACGAAGGCCUUAGGGUUGUAAAGCUCUUUUGGCGGGGACGAUAAUGACGGUACCCGCAGAAUAAGCCCCGGCUAACUUCGUGCCAGCAGCCGCGGUAAUACGAAGGGGGCUAGCGUUGUUCGGAAUUACUGGGCGUAAAGCGCACGUAGGCGGAUGUGCCAGUCAGGGGUGAAAUCCCGAGGCUCAACCUCGGAACUGCCUCCGAUACAGCACGUCUCGAGUCCGGAAGAGGUGAGUGGAAUUCCUAGUGUAGAGGUGAAAUUCGUAGAUAUUAGGAAGAACACCAGUGGCGAAGGCGGCUCACUGGUCCGGUACUGACGCUGAGGUGCGAAAGCGUGGGGAGCAAACAGGAUUAGAAACCCUGGUAGUCC